AGCAGCCGCGGUAAUUCCAGCUCCAAUAGCGUAUAUUAAAGUUGUUGCAGUUAAAAAGCUCGUAGUUGAAUUUCGGGAUUAGUACGUUGGUCGUGCCUUAGGUACGUACUGGUGUUACUGGUUCCUACCUUCUGACGAACCAUCAUGUCAUUAAUUUGGUGUGGCGGGGAAUCAGGACUGUUACUUUGAAAAAAUUAGAGUGUUUAAAGCAGGCUCGCGCUUGAAUACAUUAGCAUGGAAUAAUGAAAUAGGACGUUGAUCCUAUUUUGUUGGUUUCUAGGAUUGACGUAAUGAUUAAUAGGGAUAGUUGGGGGCAUUAGUAUUCAAUUGUCAGAGGUGAAAUUCUUGGAUUUAUUGAAGACUAACUACUGCGAAAGCAUUUGCCAAGGAUGUUUUCAUUAAUCAAGAACGAAAGUUAGGGGAUCGAAGACGAUCAGAUACCGUCGUAGUCUUGACCAUAAACUAUGCCGACUAGGGAUCGGAUGAUGUUAAUUUUUUAAUGACUCA
rnacentral:rRNA from 1 species